ACAGCUCUUACCCUAAUUCUCUGUGUGAAAUUAUUCUCAGGGCCAGGCUAUGAAAAUCAGCUGAAAGACCUCAUGAAUGCAGAGAUCUCACCCUACCUGCAAAAGUUUGAUGGGAACUUGAAAGACAACAUUUACUAUGAAAACCUGUUCCAAAGUAUUGCUGACAAUUUCACCGCAGAAGCUUCCAAACUGCCCAGAGCACCUGGAUGCUUUCCCCCAUGUGGUUAAAACACAGCAGGUGGAAAAGUUCAAGGAGGUGACUGUGGGGAUGGACCGACUCUAUGCCAUUCCAUCUGUCCAUUUUGACGACCAGGGCACAUAUCAGUGUGAAGUCUUCUCUCGAGGCAAUUCCAUUAUUAGAAUCUACUACUACCUAACAGUGACUCCUCAGGUGGUGGUAGGUCAUGCUGAACUGCAGGAUAUAUUUAACAUCGCUCUCCUUCCGGGGGGUCAAAUCCCACCCCACCUAGUUGCUGCACAUGAACUCACCCUGAUAGAUGUUCCCUCCCCUGCUCUCCUGACUGCGUGUCUGACUGCAAUGCUGUUGAUGCUCUUCCUUUCCAUGGGGUUUUUGUACUGGUGGUGGACUCAGAGAACAGAGUCCAGUCCUGAUGAAUAUCAAGCUCUGAGCCGCCCAGUGACGAGAACAGUUUUGCUUCAGUGAAGGCCUUCAGAUUCUCCAGAUUCUUCUUUGAGCGGUUCUGGAAUUUGACAAUUUCUCACAUUCAUAUAAACCCAUUUCCUGGAAUUACACUCACUUUUCUCAAAAUUACAAUCACAAAAUCAAGAACUCAUACUUCACCAAACAACAAAACAAAAAUGACUGAAAAGCACAUUAACUUUGUUCAAAAUUUGCUUUCCCUUCAGAUCACAUUAACAGUAAACAAAUUUUAUGCCUUAUUACUUGAACAGCAAAGCUACUUGUGAUGCAUUAACUUUUGUCUCUCGACAUAAAAUAUUAGAACCUUUAUUCUGCAUUGCAAAUCUGGAAGACAUAGAGGUAUUCAUGUAUCAACAUCCUGUACUUCCAGGAAUUUAACACUGGCCCAAAUCCAGACUGUUACAUUGUGUAUUAGAUGACACAAAAAAUCUGCUCUGCUAUUGUGAAAUGAAAUAUUUCUAAGUCAUCUGCAAUCUUUUUCUCCCCUGGAAAUUUAAAUAUACUUUUUUCUGAGUUCUGCGUGCAAGUUUUAUCUAAAUGUACUACCUAAAAGUAAGAGAAAGGGAGACAGGGAUUUUGGGAUGCAAUGAAAGGAUGAAUCUGUGAUAAAAGACCCUCAAUUCCAGAUUGAAACCUGAUGGAAGGAUAUAGGAUGGAGUAGCUGAAUGAAGCCACUAGCAGCGGUGACACGUUAAAGUGAUCCAUGAAGAUAUGAAUAGGGAAAGGUGGGCGAUAUAGAACACUCACUGAAAGGAUACAGAAAAGUGGAGAAAUUCAAGCAUGAAGGAGGAAAGGGAAGAGAUGGGAUUCCAAUUCAUGGAGCAAACCUGUAGCUUGUACCCGUGUUAAAGGGCUGGUGGAAAAAGAAUAGUUUGAGAAGUGAUACACUGUAGUGGCUGAAAGCAAGAUGUAAGCAGACAUGAAAUCUGCCCUCUGCAAGGCACUCUGUUAUUUUCAGAUACCAUGAUGAAACUCAAGAGGGUGGGAUGAGCUCUAGGAGGUCAAACUAAGUUGCUAAUGUCUGUGAUGACAUCGAUUGCCUAUACUGGUAUCCUAGGUCAGAAGGAAUAAAGCACAUUUUCUUAACA
rnacentral:lncRNA from 1 species